AUGAUGGAAUGUGGGAGCCCCUGGGUAGCCAGGUUCAAUCAAACACAGCCUGGCAGGGAGUGGGUGUGGACAAACACAGCUGUGUUUAGACCGCACCGAUGUCUUCGUCUAUUUUCCCAACAUUUGUGCUUUGAAAACAGCUUUCUGCUUGAAAUGCAGCCACUCUUGUGCUCAGAGCUCAUGUGUGUGGUAGGAAAAAGUUUUUCCGUUUCUAUUUCUGAGAUUCUCAGGAAUUGGCUUUCUUGUACUCUUAAAGCAAUGUUUUUUUUUUUUUUCUCCUCCUGGCAACACCCAUUUUUUUUUUUUUUUUCCUCCUCCUGGCAACACCCGUUUUCUCUGGUUUCAAACUGCUCUAUUCUGGAAGAGAUAAUCGUGGAAAAUCUUCUGACCCAUUUGCUUGCAAAUGCUUUUCUUUGGGUGACUAAAAGUGAAGAGCUCCUUUCCUGUUGUCAUGAAGGCUGCUGUCUAGUUGAGUUGCUUCUCGAGCAAGAACAGUCAGUGUCAUUAAUUUUUUCUCCGUACUGUGUGGGCUGUGGAACACGAAACCGACUUGAUUGAUCACAUUGCCACUUCAAAACAGGAGUCUUCGGAGGCAG
rnacentral:lncRNA from 1 species